rnacentral:rRNA from 1 species
UAAUACCGUAUGUUGUCAUGUUGAUGCAUAUUUUCAUGACCAAAGGCUUCGGCCGGUAAAGGAUGGGGAUGCGUCUGAUUAGCUUGCCGGCGGGGUAACGGCCCACCGGGGCGACGAUCAGUAGGGGUUCUGAGAGGAAGGUCCCCCACAUUGGAACUGAGACACGGUCCAAACUCCUACGGGAGGCAGCAGUGAGGAAUAUUGGUCAAUGGGCGCGAGCCUGAACCAGCCAAGUAGCGUGCAGGACGACGGCCCUAUGGGUUGUAAACUGCUUUUAUACGGGGAUAAAGUAUGCCACGUGUGGUUUAUUGCAGGUACCGUAUGAAUAAGGACCGGCUAAUUCCGUGCCAGCAGCCGCGGUAAUACGGAAGGUCCGGGCGUUAUCCGGAUUUAUUGGGUUUAAAGGGAGCGUAGGCCGGGUUUUAAGCGUGCCGUGAAAUGUCGGGGCUCAACCUUGACACUGCGGCGCGAACUGGAGUCCUUGAGUGCGCGGAACGUAUGCGGAAUUCGUGGUGUAGCGGUGAAAUGCUUAGAUAUCACGAAGAACCCCGAUUGCGAAGGCAGCAUACGGCAGCGCUACUGACGCUGAAGCUC